rnacentral:rRNA from 1 species
ACUUACUUGGAUAACUGUGGUAAUUCUAGAGCUAAUACAUGCAAACAGAGCUCCGACCGGAGACGGAAGGAGUGCUUUUAUUAGAUCAAAACCAAUCGGUGGCGGGCUUGCUCGUCAUCGUACAAUUUGGUGACUCUGAAUAACUUUACGCUGAUCGCACGGUCUUAGCACCGGCGACGCAUCUUUCAAAUGUCUGCCUUAUCAACUGUCGAUGGUAGGUUCUGCGCCUACCAUGGUUGUAACGGGUAACGGGGAAUCAGGGUUCGAUUCCGGAGAGGGAGCCUGAGAAACGGCUACCACAUCCAAGGAAGGCAGCAGGCGCGCAAAUUACCCACUCCCGGCACGGGGAGGUAGUGACGAAAAAUAACGAUACGGGACUCAUCCGAGGCCCCGUAAUCGGAAUGAGUACACUCUAAACCCUUUAACGAGGAUCAAUUGGAGGGCAAGUCUGGUGCCAGCAGCCGCGGUAAUUCCAGCUCCAAUAGCGUAUAUUAAAGUUGUUGCGGUUAAAAAGCUCGUAGUCGAAUUUGUGUCUCGUGCCGCUGGUUCAUCGUUCGCGGUGUUAACUGGCGAGUCGCGAGACGUCCUGCCGGUGGGCUUAGCUCGCAAGAGCGGCCCAACUCAAUCCUGCCGCGGUGCUCUUCACUGAGUGUCGAGGUGGGCCGGCACGUUUACUUUGAACAAAUUAGAGUGCUUAAAGCAGGCUAAAACUUCGCCUGAAUACUGUGUGCAUGGAAUAAUGGAAUAGGACCUCGGUUCUAUUUUGUUGGUUUUCGGAACCCCGAGGUAAUGAUUAAUAGGAACGGAUGGGGGCAUUCGUAUUGCGACGUUAGAGGUGAAAUUCUUGGAUCGUCGCAAGACGGACAGAAGCGAAAGCAUUUGCCAAAAACGCUUUCAUUGAUCAAGAACGAAAGUUAGAGGUUCGAAGGCGAUCAGAUACCGCCCUAGUUCUAACCUUAAACGAUGCCAGCUAGCGAUCCGUCGACGUUCCUCCGAUGACUCGACGGGCAGCUUCCGGGAAACCAAAGCUUUUGGGUUCCGGGGGAAGUAUGGUUGCAAAGCUGAAACUUAAAGGAAUUGACGGAAGGGCACCACCAGGAGUGGAGCCUGCGGCUUAAUUUGACUCAACACGGGAAACCUCACCAGGCCCGGACACCGGAAGGAUUGACAGAUUGAGAGCUCUUUCUUGAUUCGGUGGGUGGUGGUGCAUGGUCGUUCUUAGUUGGUAGAGCGAUUUGUCUGGUUAAUUCCGAUAACGAACGAGACUCUAGCCUGCUAAAUAGGCGUAUUUUGACAUCCUAAAGGCCCGCCGGCUUGGGGUUCGCUCCUUGUCGUGCGCGGUUUUUACUGUCGGCGUACAAACAAUUCUUCUUAGAGGGACAGGUGGCUUUUAGCCGCACGAGAUUGAGCAAUAACAGAUCUGUAAUGCCCUUAGAUGUUCUGGGCCGCACGCGCGCUACACUGAAGGAAUCAGCGUGUCCUCCCUGGCCGAGUGGCCCGGGUAACCCGCUGAACCUCCUUCGUGCUAGG